AAAAAGUGAGUGUAAAUAUGAGUGCAGAACUGCCUCUGGGCUGCUAUUCUGGGCACACUGCCUAUGGAGUAGCCCUGCUCUGCAAGGGGCAGUACCUCCAUGGUUGCUGUAACCCUGCUGCUUCAAUAAAAAUUACUGUUUAACAUCUGCUAUGUAUAGCCACCCUUUCUACCAAUCUUAUGUUAUCCCCUACGAUCUAGUUACAUCACAGAAAGAAGAAAUGGACUGCCUAAAACAUCAAAACCUAUGAUCUUCACUUCUAGACAAUUUCCUUCUAUCUCUCUGCAUUUUAAUUCAAUUCCUUUUUUGUGAGGAAUAAACUUUCCUAUGUACAAUGUGCCACUGCUGAUAUCUACUCUCCUCUGUUCUCUAAUCUACUCCUCCUAACACAUGUGCACACACACAACCCAACACACACAGAAACACACACAGACAUAAUUCACCUGCACACAAUCUCAUAUACAUGCACAUGCACUUACACAUACAUCACCUUUCACUGCGUGUCAGAUACUCUCCUUGGAUGUUUGAGAAAACAUUCAUACAUUGCAAUAAGUAUUAUUGUCUACUGUGUGCUAGGCACUCUUCAAUAUAAUUUAAAUACAGCAGUGAAGACAACAGUCCAAAAGCUUGUACCUACACCCGGUAGAUGUCUCAUGCAAAUAUACAAAGAAAAUUAUAUAGUACAGUAAGUCUUCAGUAAAUAUCAUGAAUAGGUUCUUGGAGACCACAACUUUAACAGAAACAAUGUAUGAUGAAAGCAAUUGUACCCUAGUCUAAUUUAUGUAAAUAAGAUUUGAUUUCCUAUGGCAUAUUUUUGGUCACAAAUACUUCACAAAGCAUUGUAAAUAAACACCAAAAAGCUUCUAAAAUUAAACAUUGAAAUAAGUGUGAGCUAUACAUACACUUAAGAAAGAUUAAUAAAACAAAUAGAAUAAUUAUUUACCCACUUAUUCUAGUUCAGAGUCGUGGGUGGCUGGAGUCUGUCUCAGCAGCUCAGGUUGCAAGGCGGGAACCAGCAUUGGACAGGACACCGUCCCAUUGCGGCAAGCAGUCUCCACAUCCACACUCACAAUGGGGAUCACCCAGACAGCCAAUCAACCUAAGAUGGACGACAUAGGUGGGAGGAAACUGGAGUACCCAGAGAAAACCCGUGCAAAUGUGAAGAGAACAACAAACUCCUCACAGUGGCUCUGGCUGGGAAUCAAUUUUUUUUGUCAUCAAUCUUAUAAUAAAAGGAUGUUUAACAAAACGACCUUCCUUAUUUGAGGAACUGGCAGGAGAGUGUCUCAACUAAGAAGCUAAAAAGGGAAAGAAAAGAAAAGCAGUUAUGUUUUUUUCCCCUCCGGCCUAUACAAACACAUACACACCAAGAUACAGCAAUUCUGUAGCAAAAAGGCAGAGAAAACAUCAUUGUGGACGCAGGACUCAAAUGUGUUAUCUCAAGAGAUGAUGGAGAAACAUCACCAGAUGGGGCCACCAGAUGAGGCAGAUCGAGUCCCAGAAACAAAUAACAUAAGAGGAAAUGGAUAUGAUGAGGUUCUGAUACGAAACGACAGAAAAUCCCCUCAACAAGGAACUGGUGAUACUAAUUUUUAAAUUUUCCUUGAUGUCAGCAUGUCUCUAAACACAACUCUUUGGGAAAGAACAUAAUUUGUUUAGACAGAUUUUUUUUCCCAUACAGGUAGUAAAUGCAUAGUGAAAAAAAAAGGUCAGAGGGCCGGGCGCAGUGGCUCACGCCUGUAAUCCCAGCGCUUUGGGAGGCCGAAGCGGGCAGAUCACGAGGUCAGGAGAUCGAGACCAUCCCAGCUAACACGGUGAAACCCCCGUCUCCACUAAAAACACAAAAAAUUAGCUGGGCGAGAUGGCGGGCGCCUGUAUUCCCAGCUACUGGGGAGGCUGAGGCAGGAGAAUGGCGUAAACCCGGGAGGCGGAGCUUGCAGUGAGCCGGGAUGCGGCCACUGCACUCCAGCCUGGGUGACAGAGCGAGACUCCGUCUCAAAAAAAAAAAAAAGAAAAAUAAAAAAAUGGUUAGAGAUAUCUUGUCAGAGGUUUUAUUUCCUUUUCUAUUUGGGCUUAAUUUCACAGGUCAUGAAUAAUGGACUAUU
rnacentral:lncRNA from 1 species